CACGGCUCCCGAAUGGCCAGUGGGACACACGGCAGCAACGCCUUUUCUAGUCGUGAGUGAGCCAAUCCCGAGGCGCAAACGUACCUACUGCUCCGCCCCUUCCUGAAGAAAAGCCAAUCUCUUUGAGGCUUGUGGAGGAGCCCAGGCUCACUUUGAGCCUAGUGUAAACACUGUAAGACCCAGGAGUUAUCUAAAAGUAACCGAGCUGUGCUUCGGAUCUCCAGGGACAAUUGAGUCUGCCUCCCAUCAGUUGGUCAGACAGAGCAGUUUGUUGUUAUAGCAACGCUAUAGUGUUGAUACGAUCUAAGUGUUUUCCCCACGAGUUCUCAGAUGAUUCCAGAAGUACUGCCUAAGAAGAGACAGAGCCUAAUGGAAAGAGAACGUAAGCAAAAGAGAAGCUUUUAAGAGGAAGGAGAGUCUGUUCCACACCUGUUUCCUUCUUUCUGCACUGACUAGUACAACCAUUCAUUAACCCUGGGCACAGAGUGACAUUUGCAGUUUUUAUGACAGGCUUUUCUCAACUUAAAGUAUAAGCACAGAGAGGCCCAAGAGGACCCAGAACAGCACAGGCAAUUGCCACUGCUGUUGGUUGCCCACUAGAACUAUAUGGUAAAAACCUACUGAUGAGGAUAACAUGUGCCCUAGGAAAAGGCCAUAGAAAAAUGAAGCUCCAGUUGAACUUCUGCCUACAGGAGAGGCAUCAUAGAAAACGCCAGAAGGGGGAAAUAUUUUUGACGUAACCCUGAAGGUAUGCAGUCUUCCCUGCAAUGAGUCCUGUAUUGAGACUGUAAGAAGAAUGUGGUGGCGAAGAUAUGAGGUCUUUUUAUCCAUUGUUCUGUUGUGCUGCUGGGGACAGAACCUGGCCGCAGAACCUGGCCGCGCACUUCUGCAGGAGGAGCACAUGCCUGAGCAGUGAGAAUACCACCAGCUGCUUUUUUUUU
rnacentral:lncRNA from 1 species